GGAAGUGUAGCUCAAUGGUUAGAGCAGCAGACUUUUAAUCUGUUGGUUGCGAGUUCGACUCUCGUCACUUUCA
rnacentral:tRNA from 1 species